rnacentral:piRNA from 1 species
UUGGACAAAUACCGAAGGAGAUGUGU